AGAAUCAACGCUGGCGGCGUGCCUAACACAUGCAAGUCGAUCGAGAAAGUGGAGCAAUCCAUGAGUAAAGAGGCGCACGGGUGAGUAACACGUGACUAACCUACCUUCGAGUGGGGAAUAACCUGGGGAAACCCGGGCUAAUACCGCAUAAUACCUACGGGUCAAAGGAGCAAUUCGCUUGAAGAGGGGGUCGCGGCAGAUUAGUUAGUUGGCGGGGUAAUGGCCCACCAAGACUAUGAUCGGUA
rnacentral:rRNA from 1 species